CAAGGGCAAGACAAAUGGUUUGGAAGACUAUCUCUUUUUUAAUCAAUCACUGUGGAAUUUGCAUUUCCCUGAAGUCCCCUGGAGCACUGGGACCUUCAGGAAAGAGUGAGAACUAGUUGGAAAGACGUCAUGGAAACUGCUCAGGUGACAAAGGGCUCUUUGUGGAUGCAGAAGGGUCUUCUGUUCUUAUACUAGAAGGGAGAUUUUGGGGGGAAUUGAGUGGGAAAAUUCUUUGUGAUGGGAUAUUCCUGUACCUUACAGUGUGUUUAGCAGCAUUCGUGGCCCUUGCUUCCCAGUUAUGACCUCCAGGUGACAUCAAGGCAGGGGUCACUCUCCAAGUUGAAAAACAUGUCAAGGUAGCUUUUUAUUCUGCUGCUACUGGUUUCUAUAGUCAGUGGCUGAUUUCAAACACCCAGCUGAGAGGACACUGCUUAGGCAAGAUCAAGGUGGGUCCCUUCGGGCUCCCACUGACAGCUCAGAUGCCUGCGGAAGGCUCAACCAUACCACUCUGGGAGGCACCGGAGACACCAUCUUCCACAGACUGUUCCAGGAGCAGCAGGAGACCUGGACCAUUCAGGCUCCCCUGCACCUCAAAGGAGACCAUCCCAGCUGCCUGUUCAUUGUGCAGUUCAUCUUGGGCUGGCGUACCUGUGGCACCGGGGAAGGGCCGAUUGCCUUCCAUGUUCCCUCCAGGUUUUCAUCCAGCCUCUGGCUUGUUCCACCCCUCUGCUAUAUUCUCAUUAGCAAAAAGAAGGAGGAAAAAUUUCCUUCUAGACUUCGUCUUCUGAUCUAGCCAGAUAGUGGAUAAAUAAAUAACAAAGAGGAAAUA
ensembl:lncRNA